GCGGCGGACGGGUGAGUAAUGCUUAGGAAUCUGCCUAUUAGUGGGGGACAACAUCUCGAAAGGGAUGCUAAUACCGCAUACGUCCUACGGGAGAAAGCAGGGGACCUUCGGGCCUUGCGCUAAUAGAUGAGCCUAAGUCGGAUUAGCUAGUUGGUGGGGUAAAGGCCUACCAAGGCGACGAUCUGUAGCGGGUCUGAGAGGAUGAUCCGCCACACUGGGACUGAGACACGGCCCAGACUCCUACGGGAGGCAGCAGUGGGGAAUAUUGGACAAUGGGGGGAACCCUGAUCCAGCCAUGCCGCGUGUGUGAAGAAGGCCUUAUGGUUGUAAAGCACUUUAAGCGAGGAGGAGGCUCUUUUGGUUAAUACCCAAGAUGAGUGGACGUUACUCGCAGAAUAAGCACCGGCUAACUCUGUGCCAGCAGCCGCGGUAAUACAGAGGGUGCGAGCGUUAAUCGGAUUUACUGGGCGUAAAGCGUGCGUAGGCGGCUUUUUAAGUCGGAUGUGAAAUCCCCGAGCUUAACUUGGGAAUUGCAUUCGAUACUGGGAAGCUAGAGUAUGGGAGAGGAUGGUAUAAUUCCAGGUGUAGCGAUGAAAUGCGUAGAGAUCUGGAGGAAUACCGAUGGCGAAGGCAGCCAUCUGGCCUAAUAC
rnacentral:rRNA from 1 species